rnacentral:rRNA from 1 species
UACGUAGGAUGCGAGCGUUAUCCGGAUUUAUUGGGUUUAAAGGGUGCGUAGGCGGACUGUCAAGUCAGCGGUAAAAUUGAGAGGCUCAACCUCUUCCCGCCGUUGAAACUGGUGGUCUUGAGUGGAUGAGAAGUACGCGGAAUGCGUGGUGUAGCGGUGAAAUGCUUAGAGAUCAUACAGAACACCGAUUGCGAAGGCAGCUUACCAAACUAUAUCUGACGUUGAGGCACGAAAGCGUGGGUAGCAAACAGG